rnacentral:lncRNA from 1 species
UAUAUGGAAGUAUCAACGACAAGUUGCUAGCCACGAAUUCAAUACUAGAUCACUACGAAAAUUCGUUGAAUCUGUAGUUGAUGUCGAGGUAUCUGAACGUCUAGUUCCCAUACUCGCGAACGCUGCUGCUGAGAAAAAUGUUGUCGAUCUACAAGACGUGUUGCAAAGGUUCGCAUUUGAUAACAUUUGUAAAAUUGCAUUUGGUUAUGAUCCAAAGUAUUUGUUACCUAACUUACCUGAAGCAGAAUUCGCGGUAGCAUUUGAAGAUUGUGUUCGAUUGAGCAGUGAGAGAUUUGCUGUCCCUUUUCC